rnacentral:rRNA from 1 species
CCUACGGGAGUCAGCAGUGGGGAAUAUUGGGCAAUGGGCGCAAGCCUGACCCAGCAACGCAGCGUGAAGGAAGAAGGCCCUCGGGUUGUAAACUUCUUUUAUCAAGGACGAAACAAAUGAAGGGAAUUGACGAAUAUGCCACGGCUAACUACGUGCCAGCAGACACGGUAAUACGUAGGUGGCCAGCGUUAUCCGGAUUUACUGGGUGUAAAGGGAGUGUAGGCGGGACUGCAAGUCAGAUGUGAAAACCAUGGGCUCAAACCAAAGCAUGCAUUUGAAACUGGAAGUCUGUAGUGUUGUAGAGGUGGGCGGAAUUACGUGUGUAGCGGUGAAAUGCGUAGAUAUCACGAAGAACACCAGUGGCGAAGGCAGCCUACUGGA